rnacentral:rRNA from 1 species
GACGAACGCUGGCGGCGUGCUUAACACAUGCCAGUCGAACGGAAAGGCCCUGCUUGCCGGGUACUCGAGUGGCGAACGGGUGAGUAACACGUGGGUGAUCUGCCCUGCACUUCGGGAUAAGCCUGGGAAACUGGGUCUAAUACCGGAUAGGAGCCAUUUUUAGUGUGAUGGUUGGAAAGUUUUUUCGGUGUAGGAUGAGCUCGCGGCCUAUCAGCUUGUUGGUGGGGUAAUGGCCUACCAAGGCGGCGACGGGUAGCCGGCCUGAGAGGGUGGACGGCCACAUUGGGACUGAGAUACGGCCCAGACUCCUACGGGAGGCAGCAGUGGGGAAUAUUGCACAAUGGGCGCAAGCCUGAUGCAGCGACGCCGCGUGGGGGAUGACGGCCUUCGGGUUGUAAACUCCGUUCGCUAGGGACGAAGCUUUUUGUGACGGUACCUAGAUAAGAAGCACCGGCUAACUACGUG